UGAAUUGGGGAAAUAACUUGUUUAUUGAUUUUUCCAAUAAAUUGUAAUGAUAACAUUCUUAUAUAUUUUGAACACGUACUGAUAUUGUAUACACAUACAUAUGAAUUUGAGCUUUAAUUUCCCAUAAUUUUGUAAACUAUCACAAUAAAUAUAGAAAUCCUCAAAACAAUAAUUAUAAUCAGAGGAGAAUGUACUUUAUUCAGUUUCAAAUUGAACUCUGGCUUUUGUUGUUAUCUUAUACUGUUAAUGUUUAAUUUUUUUUGAAUAAUUAUAAAGCAUUAACAACGGUAGUGUUGUAAGUGAAUAAAUUUGUUAAACCUAGAAGGUAUGUCGAAUAAUUCAAUCUCGGGAGCAAACAUGCCAAGCAUCGGAAACAUCAAUCAAGGAUCAAUUCAAUAUGUUAAUAACCCUUUGCAAAGCCCUCAAUUACAGUCCACAUCAUCACAAGGUUCACCUGUACAGCAUAAUCCUGUAAGCCAAUCACAAGUUUCUAAUAAAAAUAACCAAAGUGGUGAUCAAGGGUCACAGCCUCUAACCAGGCCAAGGUUGCAAGAGUUAGUCCGAGAAGUUGACCCAACAGUACAACUAGAUGAGGAGGUUGAAGAAGUUUUGCUGGAAUUAGCUGAUAACUUUUUGGAUGUUGCAGUAAAUGCAUCUUGCUGUCUUGCUAAACACAGACAUGUGUCUACUGAGGAGUUAAAGGAUGUUCAACUACAUUUAGGACUAUGCUGUACAGGUGAACCUUGUGAUGAUGUGGACUGCAAUUGAGGGCUUUGCAAAGGGUUAUUAACAUAUUGAUUUGAUCCUUGAUUGAUGUUUCCGAUGCUUGGCAUGUUUGCUCCCGAGAUUGAAUUAUUCAACAUACCUUCUAUGUUUAACAAAUUUAUUCACUUACAACACUACCAUUGUUAAUGUGUUAUAAUUAUUCCAAAAAUUAAACAUUAACAGUAUAAGAUAACAACAAAAGCCAGAGUUCAAUUUGAAACUGAAUAAAGUAAAUUCUCCUUUGAUUAUAAUUAUUGUUUUGAGGAUUUCUAUAUUUAUUGUGAUAGUUUACAAAUUCAUGGAAAAUUAUAGCUCAAAUUCAUAUGUAUGUGUAUACAAUAUCAGUAUGUGUUCAAAAUAUAUAAGAACAUGUUAUCAUUACAAUUUAUUGGAAAAAUCAAUAAACAAAUUAUUAUUAA